CGGAGGAUCCAAGCGUUAUCCGGAAUUAUUGGGUUUAAAGGGUCCGUAGGCGGUUUUGUAAGUCAGUGGUGAAAGCCCAUCGCUCAACGGUGGAACGGCCAUUGAUACUGCAAGACUUGAAUUAUUAGGAAGUAACUAGAAUAUGUAGUGUAGCGGUGAAAUGCUUAGAUAUUACAUGGAAUACCAAUUGCGAAGGCAGGUUACUACUAAUGGAUUGACGCUGAUGGACGAAAGCGUGGGGAGCGAACAGGAUUAGAUACCCUGGUAGUCCACGCCGUAAACGAUGGAUACUAGCUGUUCGGAGCAAUCUGAGUGGCUAAGCGAAAGUGAUAAGUAUCCCACCUGGGGAGUACGUUCGCAAGAAUG
rnacentral:rRNA from 1 species